GACAUGGCUUAAUGGUAGAGCAUUUGCUUGGUGUGCAGAAGGUCCCAGGUUUAAUCACCAGCAUCUCCA
rnacentral:tRNA from 1 species